GACAGCAGUAGCCACGGGAAUACGGAGGGGGCUAGCGUUGUUCGGAAUUACUGGGCGUAAAGCGCACGUAGGCGGCUUGGUAAGUUAGAGGUGAAAGCCUGGAGCUCAACUCCAGAAUUGCCUUUAAGACUGCCGAGCUAGCAGGUGAGAGAGGUAAGUGGAAUUCCGAGUGUAGAGGUGAAAUUCGUAGAUAUUCGGAAGAACACCAGUGGCGAAGGCGGCUUACUGGCUCAUACUGGACGCUGAGGUGCGAAAGCGUGGGGAGCAAACAGGAUUAGAUACCCCUGUAGUCCCUGUCUCUUAUAC
rnacentral:rRNA from 1 species